UCGAGCGCUCUCUUCGGAGGGAGCGGCGGACGGGUUAGUAACGCGUGGGAACGUACCCAGAUCUAAGGAAUAGCCACUGGAAACGGUGAGUAAUACCUUAUACGCCCUUCGGGGGAAAGAUUUAUCGGAUUUGGAUCGGCCCGCGUUAGAUUAGAUAGUUGGUGGGGUAACGGCCUACCAAGUCUACGAUCUAUAGCUGGUUUUAGAGGAUGAUCAGCAACACUGGGACUGAGACACGGCCCAGACUCCUACGGGAGGCAGCAGUGGGGAAUCUUGGACAAUGGGCGCAAGCCUGAUCCAGCCAUGCCGCGUGAGUGAUGAAGGCCUUAGGGUCGUAAAGCUCUUUCGCCUGUGAAGAUAAUGACGGUAGCAGGUAAAGAAACCCCGGCUAACUCCGUGCCAGCAGCCGCGGUAAUACGGAGGGGGUUAGCGUUGUUCGGAAUUACUGGGCGUAAAGCGCACGUAGGCGGACUGGAAAGUAUGGGGUGAAAUCCCAGGGCUCAACCCUGGAACUGCCUCAUAAACUAUCAGUCUAGAGUUCGAGAGAGGUGAGUGGAAUUCCGAGUGUAGAGGUGAAAUUCGUAGAUAUUCGGAGGAACACCAGUGGCGAAGGCGGCUCACUGGCUCGAUACUGACGCUGAGGUGCGAAAGUGUGGGGAGCAAACAGGAUUA
rnacentral:rRNA from 1 species